CACCAACCCCCUACACACCACCCCACCCCACUAGCAGUGUGUUCACAAGGUGUUUAAAUGCCUCACAUUUAAUCCCCCCAAACUGGGGUGAGAGCAGUCAUUUUCCUCCAGCUCCUUGUGUCUGCUUUGUCCACUUGAUUCGAAAAACUGAUUCAUUAGAAAAGACCCCGAUGCUGGGAAAGAUUGAAGGCAGAAGGAGAAGGGGACGACAGAGAAUGAGAUGGUUGGGUGGCAUCGCUGACUCCAUGGAUGGAUUCUCUGGUGACUCAGCGGUAAAGAAUCUGCCUGCAGUGCAAGAGACUUGGGUUCAAAUCCUGGGUUAGGAAGAUCCCCUAGAGUAGGAAAUGGCAACCCACUCCAGUAUUCUUGCCUGGAAAAGCCCAUGGACAGAGGACCCCAUGGCGGGCUACAGUCCAUGGCAUCGCAAAGGAUUGGACUCGACUGAGUGACUAAACCACCACCACCACCUGCUCGUCUUCAGAGCUUCAGGUCCUGCCAGUGGAAUUUCAGACACAGGGCCCAGGCUACUAAGAUGGCAGCCCACCAGGCUUCCCUGUUCCUGGGAUUCUCCAAGCAAGAAUACUGGAGUGGGUUGCCAUUUCCUUCUCCAAUGCAUAAAAGUGAAAAGUGAAAGUGAAGUCCCUCAGAUAUGUCCGACUCUUCGAGACCCCAUGGACUGCAGCCUACCAGGCUCCUCCAUCCAUGAGAUUUUCCAGGCAAGAGUACUGGAGUAGGGUGCCAUUGCCUUCUCUGGAAAGACCAUACAAUGUUAUGCUAUUGCCCAUCUCUUCCCAGCUCUGUGCUCAAUGACAUCACAUAGGUAGCUUGAAAUCGGCCAUGGUGGGGCCAUUUACACCAUGAAAAUCAGCGUAUAUAACAGUCCUCCACCCCCCAGGAAAGCCAGCUGUUAGGGACUUCCCAGCACACCACUGCUCUGCAGUACCACUUGAGUUCCAUUUCAGCUACAGCACUUGGUAGCUGUGUGACUUGAGCGAGUCAGUGAACAUCUCUGUGGUAGUUUCUUUGCACGAUGCCUAUAUUUCUAGGGUUGCUUUGAGGAUUAAAUG
ensembl:lncRNA